GUCAAUGUGGUAUAGUGGUUUGAGCAUUGGACUAGGACUCUGGAGACCAGGGUUUGAAUCCUGGCUUUGCUA
rnacentral:tRNA from 1 species